GAUCAAUAUUUUCCGUCCAACACUCCUCAUUAUUUAUUGCUACUCUUUAUUGACGUUGAACAACCUAACCCUAAAGUAGUAGUUAAGAUUGGUCAUUUUAGUUCACGUAAUGUUCCUGUAAGGAACCACAUUAACCUAAAAUCUUUCAGCUAGAAUUGAAAGCAUUUUCAAGAACACGUACUCGACAUUUCGGUGAAGACUUUCCAAACCACACCGUAAUGGCCUUUCGCUGGAGAAUUCGACGAAACCUUAUUCUGCUGCUAAUUUUCACUUUCAUAUCUGUCGGUUUGUUUUUCGCUUUACUCCAAACAUCCCGAGACGUUGUCAAGAACAGAAACGUAUUACAGUCUGGUAGUAUGUUUAUUACAACAUCAAAUCUAACGACCAACGAGGCCCCUUUGGAAACUCAAAACAGAACCAACUCAGUUAACGAUUCUACAGAGAGGACGUUGAAGCAUAAGGUGAAAAAUCGUCAGAUCGUGUUGGUGGUUGCGCAUGGCAGAUCUGGUUCUACAUUUCUUGCUGAUAUUUUUGACAAGCAUCCACGAGUCUUUUACGUGUUCGAACCACUGCACGGGAUAGGGAAAAUUCAAGUCGGGGAUUACGAUACAUUUGCGAUGAAUUUUCUUCAACACAUUUUUCAAUGUAACUUCAGUAUGGGUAAUACAAGCAAGGAGAUGGGUCGUUUCUUUCGUUUCUACAGCCGAGCGUUAAGUUCUCCACCGUUUUGCAAGUACAACCAAGGCGAUCCAAAAUGGAGGAGAAAGUACUGUUCGCCUGUGACUCAAAAAAAGCUUGAACACUCGUGUAAAGUGCUACACAACACAGUCGUUUAUAAGCUUCUUUUAGACAGAGUCCCUGGCCAAUCAGUUGAGAGACUUUUCCACGUGUGCGAAAUGGCAGAUGUUGAAUGCAAAAUCAUUUAUUUAGUACGUGAUUUAAGACCACUUGUAAUGUCCUCUCGCAAAGUAGCCUUUUUCCGAGAGGUUGAUCGGAAGACAAGACCAUCCUUAAGACAGUUCGUUUAUUCUUGCUGUGAAAUGAUUGAAAGGAAUCUUGAUAUAGUGAAAAAUUUUCCUCCAUCUCUUCGCAGUCGUCUGAGACUGGUGCGAUUUGAAGACUUAGCAGCUGAACCACUGCAAGUUUUCGAUUCUUUGUAUAGAUUCGCAGGACUUGAAAUGUUAGAAAAUAUCAAACAAUGGAUCGUGAAAAUAACACAGCCGAGUUUUGAUCACUUGAAAAACGAGGAAAAACGCUCAGUUUCUAUGGUAAGAAACUCACUGGAAGUUCUGAACAGGUGGCGAUUUUCGGCAGAUUCUUGUUUCGUGGAUGUGAUUGAGCGAUAUUGCCGUGAUGUGAUGAAAUUAAUGGGCUAUAUUGCAACACAUGGUUCUGUGGAAAUGCUCCAAAAUUCAACGAUUCCACUGUUUAACAAGAAUUUCACUGCGCAAAAUUGGAUCUAGGGAUUGCAGUCUGCCAGCUGAGUGCGUCCGCAGUGAGUAAGUCUCCCCGUCGGCCUGUCCUUUCAUUGAUUUUCAGGUCAGACCGUCUGUCUCUGCAGUUUUUCGUCCGUGCUUCUUUCUGCACAUCUGAAAUUUCUUUUCCAUCUUCCACAUUGACUUAAGUGUUUUAUCAUUGAGCCGUCGGCGACCAAACUGAGACAAAGUUUUGUUUCAGCCCCUUUCGUGAUGUUUUGAACAUCAAAAAGAUUCUUUGGAAUUAAAAAUGUAUCCUACGGUAAUGAUCAAACGAUCUAAUUUCUUGCUCAGUUAGGGAGCCGCCAUUUCUCCAAUUAAUUCUUCAGUUCUUUUGUGGCCAUUUUGAAAGAACUAUCUUCACGACGGGGAAAGAAGCCAUUUCACGAUAGGUGCAGUGCUGUGAUUGGCUAGUUCAGAGCUAUAUGCACGCGCGAUUCACUGUACGCAACUACACUGAAUUGACACCAAACCAGCCAAUGAAACACGUUUGAAUGCAAUCAGCUUUCGUUUUCUCAUAAAAGACAAAUAAAUAUCUAACUUUAGGCUUGAGCAAAAUGCACACAAGAAUAUUACUUCAUCACGUUUGCGUCAUAAACUCUGGCUCUGGAUAUCCACGCUCUGGUACUGGAUUCACUUUACAAAGGAGAACUACCCGUGUGAAGUGUGAUCUCUCAGGAAAGAGUGAGUUGACCAUAUUUGGAGUUCUUCGUAUUCACGUCACCCUCAGUGCCAAAAGGCCUACGAUGGUGAUCAGAUUGAUAACGCAUGAGAGUUAAUGUUUUAGCAGAUUGUACCGCUCUUCACCAAGGUGUUUUUGAUUUCAUUAAUGUGAACUGAAAAUUUUCCACCUGCAGUGUGGUAGAGUGGUACUUAAAACAGACCAAACAGUAAACAUACUAUGGCAUUGGGAGAAUUCUGUGGUCUUUGUUUUCAGUUUCAUCUAAAAUCUUUGUGCUAUGUUUUUUGUUUAGUUCUGUGUAGUACAGAAGGGUUGAAAACAUAUUUAGUCUCUGGGAUUUAGUUUACAUUUUGCUUAACAUGUCAAGUGCAGCUAUUGAAAUUACUAUUCAAUUUAACAAUCAUGAUUUGGGCGUUAAAAAAAACGCGUUUCGUCUCUUUCGGUUUGCUUUUGAAAGUUCUUUCAAUGUACUUGCGUAAUUUUGUUGUGUGCAGUUUAGAAUAGCCUUCAGACUCUCCUAUACAAGUUGAAAUUUAUUAAACUUUUUUAAUGAGGCCACAUUGUUAUUGUAAUUUCAUUUACAUUGAUUUUGCACUCGACAUAGUUCUCUAAAAAUCAGUUUUGAAGGAAAUGUUCACUAUUUUGCAUACACAAACCAACCCAUAGUAACAGCGGAAGCUGGUGAUAUUCACCUUGCAACUCCAUAUAGGAAAUGUUCGCAGUUAUACGUUUACAACCUGCUGUUUUAUUUGGGGAUGAAACCAUCGAAAACACGAGGACAUUAAAGAUUUAGGUCGAUCGACGUAAAUUUGAAACCAUGCAGUCUUCAAUUUCAGUUGUAUGAAGGCUAACAAGGACAUAGUUCGUUUGAUAGAGUUCUGUAUUUCUUAAUUUCUUUUGCAGCUGCGAGGACGCAUUUAAAGAUUCUCAUUUAUCAGCGUUGUCAACAAUGGCUAGAUGGGCAAAAAUUCGGUUUGGUUUUGGUUUCUUAUUGUUC